AAUGAGCCUGCGAGUUGUGGUGUCUGGCAAGGUUAAGCAAACGCGAAGCCGUAGCGAAAGCGAGUCUGAAUAGGGCGCUUAGUCAGAUGCUGCAGACCCGAAACGAAGUGAUCUAUCCAUGAGCAAGUUGAAGCUAGUGUAAGAACUAGUGGAGGACUGAACCCAUAGGCGUUGAAAAGCCCCGGGAUGACUUGUGGAUAGGGGUGAAAGGCCAAUCAAACUUCGUGAUAGCUGGUUCUCUCCGAAAUAUAUUUAGGUAUAGCGUUGUGUCGUAAUAUAAGGGGGUAGAGCACUGAAUGGGCUAGGGCAUACACCAAUGUACCAAACCCUAUCAAACUCCGAAUACCUUAUAUGUAAUCACAGCAGUCAGGCGGCGAGUGAUAAAAUCCGUCGUCAAGAGGGAAACAACCCAGACUACCAGCUAAGGUCCCUAAAUCUUACUUAAGUGGAAAACGAUGUGAAGUUACUUAAACAACCAGGAGGUUGGCUUAGAAGCAGCCAUCCUUUAAAGAAAGCGUAAUAGCUCACUGGUCUAGUGAUUUUGCGCGGAAAAUAUAACGGGGCUAAAGUAAGUACCGAAGCUGUAGACUUGCGCACAACUUAGAUUAUUUAAGUUUAGAAUAUGAGAAACUAAGUUAUGUUUAGUUAUAUUUUUACUGAUUUUUAUAGAGUAAAGAUAGAAAUAAAACUUAGUAAAAUCAGUAAAAAUAUUCUUAGACUAAAGUUAAGUAGUUUAAGUUGUGUGCAAGUGGUAGGAGAGCGUUCUAUUUGCGUCGAAGGUAUACCGGUAAGGAGUGCUGGAGCGAAUAGAAGUGAGCAUGCAGGCAUGAGUAGCGAUAAUUAAUGUGAGAAUCAUUAACGCCGUAAACCCAAGGUUUCCUACGCGAUGCUCGUCAUCGUAGGGUUAGUCGGGUCCUAAGUCGAGUCCGAAAGGGGUAGACGAUGGCAAAUUGGUUAAUAUUCCAAUACCAACAUUAGUGUGCGAUGGAAGGACGCUUAGGGCUAAGGGGGCUAGCGGAUGGAAGUGCUAGUCUAAGGUCGUAGGAGGUUAUACAGGCAAAUCCGUAUAACAAUACUCCGAGAACUGAAAGGCUUUUUGAAGUCUUCGGAUGGAUAGAAGAACCCCUGAUGCCGUCGAGCCAAGAAAAGUUUCUAAGUUUAGCUAAUGUUGCCCGUACCGUAAACCGACACAGGUGGGUGGGAUGAGUAUUCUAAGGCGCGUGGAAGAACUCUCUUUAAGGAACUCUGCAAAAUAGCACCGUAUCUUCGGUAUAAGGUGUGGUUAGCUUUGUAUUAGGAUUUACUCCGAAAGCAAGGAAACUUACAACAAAGAGUCCCUCCCGACUGUUUACCAAAAACACAGCACUCUGCUAACUCGUAAGAGGAUGUAUAGGGUGUGACGCCUGCCCGGUGCUCGAAGGUUAAUUGAUGGGGUUAGCAUUAGCGAAGCUCUUGAUCGAAGCCCGAGUAAACGGCGGCCGUAACUAUAACGGUCCUAAGGUAGCGAAAUUCCUUGUCGGUUAAAUACCGACCUGCAUGAAUGGCGUAACGAGAUGGGAGCUGUCUCAAAGAGGGAUCCAGUGAAAUUGUAGUGGAGGUGAAAAUUCCUCCUACCCGCGGCAAGACGGAAAGACCCCGUGGACCUUUACUACAGCUUGACACUGCUACUUGGAUAAGAAUGUGCAGGAUAGGUGGGAGGCUUUGAGUAUAUGACGCCAGUUGUAUAUGAGCCAUUGUUGAGAUACCACUCUUUCUUAUUUGGGUAGCUAACCAGCUUGAGUUAUCCUCAAGUGGGACAAUGUCUGGUGGGUAGUUUGACUGGGGCGGUCGCCUCCCAAAUAAUAACGGAGGCUUACAAAGGUUGGCUCAGAACGGUUGGAAAUCGUUCGUAGAGUAUAAAGGUAUAAGCCAGCUUAACUGCAAGACAUACAAGUCAAGCAGAGACGAAAGUCGGUCUUAGUGAUCCGGUGGUUCUGUGUGGAAGGGCCAUCGCUCAAAGGAUAAAAGGUACCCCGGGGAUAACAGGCUGAUCUCCCCCAAGAGCUCACAUCGACGGGGAGGUUUGGCACCUCGAUGUCGGCUCAUCGCAUCCUGGGGCUGGAGCAGGUCCCAAGGGUAUGGCUGUUCGCCAUUUAAAGCGGUACGCGAGCUGGGUUCAGAACGUCGUGAGACAGUUCGGUCCCUAUCUGCCGUGGGCGUAAGAAGAUUGAAGAGAUUUGACCCUAGUACGAGAGGACCGGGUUGAACAAACCACUGGUGUAGCUGUUGUUCUGCCAAGAGCAUCGCAGCGUAGCUAAGUUUGGAAAGGAUAAACGCUGAAAGCAUCUAAGCGUGAAGCCAACUCUAAGAUGAAUCUUCUCUAAGCUCUCUAGAAGACUACUAGUUUGAUAGGCUGGGUGUGUAAUGGAUGAAAGUCCUUUAGCUGACCAGUACUAAUAGAGCGUUUGGCUUAUCUUUAAUAAAGCAU
rnacentral:rRNA from 1 species